CGAUUUUUAUUGUGGGGAGUCUGCACAAAGAGCCGUGUUAUUGUAUUUAAAAGAACCAUCUGUAGCAGAAACAAUGGCAUCAAAUUAUCUUUGAAUACCCACUGAAAAAACAUAAAGCUUUUUUUUUUAUUCUUCUUCUGUACGGUGGGGGGAUAGAGCAGUGUUAGGAUAACUGACUUUUUUGUUGUUCUCUGGAUGCAUUCUUCUCGCUCCCCCUCUCUCUCCCCCUCACCCUCUCUCUCCUCUCUCUCCCUCUCCCUCUCUCUCUCUUUUAAAAAAUCAGCCAUUUGGGGUUUUAAGCCAUAAACGAUUUUUCUUGUUGCAGGGGAUUGCAGUGGCAAAGCUAGGCUAGGUCUUGGAGGCUGGUGUAAGGCGAUGAGGGUGAAGGCAGGAGGCUGAUGGAGAAACUGGGGCGAAGAAAAGCCGAAAUGGAUUCACGGUGCCUUGGAUGGAGGACGAGAGGGGAACUGCAAGCUCCUUCAACUCGGUCUGUCCGGUGAGAAGUGAUCAAGCUUGGGCUGACAAGAGGCUCAGGGAGCCCUCACGUUCUUUGCUUUUUUACCUGCCAAUCAAACUGCUACAAGACAACACCCUGAUCUGGCAUGGACAUCGCGGGUUCAAGCCUGUAGCCCCAAAUCGGAUAAUCUCUGCAGCUGAUAACAAGCAAAUGCGAAGCCAGGCAACAGCCAUAUUAAAGAAGAAUACAAUCAACUCUGAGGUAGAUAUUUUACUUUUUUUCUCCAGGAAAGUCAAGAGUUUUCGUCAGUGAACUCAAAUGUGGUUCUUCAAGCAAGUGCCAGGAGGGAAGUUUUGAAUGUUCUUCUUUCUUAAAGCCCAGCACUGCAUUCCUUUUUGUAGUGCUUAAGAGUUUUUUCGCUUUCCCGGAGCUGUUGAAAACGACCCUUCACAACAAGGCAGCAACUAAACCAUUCGUACUUGGGGUUGUUGAAACAGUAUUUUAUCAGCAGUCUUUGUACAAAUUAAAUUUUAAGUCGUGAUUGUUAAUGUGUCAGUGAGGUGAACAGAAGACCCUCUGCUUCCCAUUGGUUAAAUACUCAGUUGCAAAGUGGUACCUGAACGCAGACAUCAAAUUCACUGUUAGGAAUGAUAUUUGCAUAAGUCUUAUUUUUUCCCACUGGAUAAGGUUAUUGUUUAAAAGCAUCUAAA